GGGGGGGGGGGGUGAGGAUGAGGAUGAGGAUGGAAGGCGGGGAGGACAUGCAGGAUGCCGUGGGGCUAAGCUGCACCUGGGGCAUCCCACCACCCUCUGGCACUCAUGCCAAGUGGGUGAGGCUCAAUGUGGGGGGCACAGUCUUCCUCACCACCAGGCAGACCCUGUGUCGGGAGCAGAAAUCUUUCUUGUGUCGCUUGUGCCAGGGCGAGGAGCUGCAGUCGGACCGGGAUGAGACUGGUGCAUACCUAAUAGACCGGGACCCCACUUACUUUGGACCAAUCCUGAAUUUCCUCCGUCAUGGGAAGCUGGUUCUGGAUAAAGAUAUGGCUGAAGAGGGUGUGCUAGAAGAAGCUGAGUUCUAUAACAUUGGUCCUUUAAUCCGAAUAAUCAAGGAUCGACUGGAGGAGAAGGACUACACAGUAACUCAGGUACCUCCUAAGCAUGUCUACCGUGUGCUACAGUGCCAGGAAGAGGAGCUCACUCAGAUGGUUUCCACUAUGUCGGAUGGAUGGCGCUUUGAGCAGCUUGUGAACAUUGGUUCAUCCUAUAACUAUGGGAAUGAGGAUCAGACAGAGUUCCUGUGCGUGGUCUCCAAAGAGCUGUACAACUCCCACAGUGGCCUGAGCUCUGAGCCCAGCCACAAAGCCAAGAGCACAGAGGAGGACCUGGAGGAGGAAGAGCAGGAGAUGGAGGAGGAGGCAGAGGCAGAAGCAGAAGCAGAGGAGAAAGGUGCAGCAAAUCCUUGAGGAAAAUGAUAAAAAUAACCCCCAAGCAUAGACCCGUCCACCUUUCUGGUAUGUUACCUGUCUGCACUCUCAGCUCCCGCCAGCCUGAGCUCUGCAUGAGUGACUCACUUCCCUCCUGUGGCUGUUACAAGCCAGAGGUCUGAGGAUGUGAUCCCGACACUGCACUCCAGCCUUUUCAUUUCUUAUUUAUAUCUUUAUUUUUGUACUGCGGCAUACGGCGACCCUUUGCCCCAUGGUGACACCCCCCCACCCCCCCAGUCUCCUUCACUCUGUUUUACAAACUGACCUCAGAGACCUCAGCCUCCAUCCCUGGAGGAAGGCAGAUGCUGCAUGAAGCCCCAUGGCUGCUGGAGCGGCUUGGAGCCCAGGCCCCCCCGUCACCGCCCCGAUGCUUAGCAGGCUGGCUAUCCUUAAUGUCACAGUGGCCCCUGCUGGGGACAUCAGUGAUAAGCCACUGCAGCUUGCGGUCCCUUCCUCAACACCCUGAGUGCAACCGAGGCCCCGAGGUGGUGGCAGCAUCAGAAGUACCCCUUGUUCUUUUGCUGUUGCAGGUCAGGGCUUGUGGCCAGAGGGCAAGUGCAGAGACACUACUCUUUUCUGUGCCACCUGCACUGCUCGUGGGGUGUCCCUGUGCUGGGCAUUGCAUCCUUGGUGCCUCCCUGACUGUCUCCCAGAGCAGCCCUGUGUUGGCAGGGUAAGGAGAUGGAUGUGUACCCAGAACAUGCUGGCACCUGAUGUGGUAAUCCCUGUCUUGGGGAGCGGGGUGUUGGCCUCACUGCUGUGCCUGAGGACACCAGGUUGUAACUCCCAAAUAAAAUUCACACUCUAUUC